AUAAAGUUGACAGAAUAAUGUGAAUAAUUUAGGUUUAUUUUAUGAGAUUAAUAUCUUGCUUUAUA
rnacentral:tRNA from 1 species